rnacentral:lncRNA from 1 species
GUUCACAUCACAAUACAAUAGUUGAAUACUUCAACCUCUAAAAUAUAUAGGAUACUCAUUUCUCUUUUUAGUAAAUAAGAAGGUAUAUAGCUAAACGAUUUCUAAAACAAUAUUUCAAAUCUUCGUUGUACUCCUUAAAUCGAUAACAAUCAUCUUUCUCUUUAGCAUAUCAACUCCAAUAAUAAAUUCUCACUGCAAAUACAAACAUGAAUAAAAGCAAGUCAUAUAAUCUAAACAAUCAUAAACAUAUUAAUUAUCCACAAUAAGUACAGGAGCAAAAUUUUAUGAAGAAAUAAUAUAAACUAUUACCCAUAAAUUAGUUAAUCAUAGUUUGAUUAAGACAAGUUGGUAAAUUCUUUUAUCAUGAAUGUUGAGAGCAUAUACGAAAUACCAGCAGAAAGAAGCUAAACUUAUUUGAUUUGACAAACUUUCUAGAAAUACAAAUUUGGGCACCUCAGAGGCAUAGAAGAGUUUGUACAUGGUCAAGGGAGAUAAUCAGAAAACUCUCAACAGAAGUAUUGGAGAUUAAUUAUGAGAACUCACGGAAUUAUGUUUUGUUAAAUAUCUUCUACACUUUAUUGUCAACAAAAAAAAUAAUUAAAAGUACGUCAUUAAGGCAGUGGUGACAAAAAUGAAUUCUCAGAAGUACUGAUGUGAUGUACUGAUGUACUGAUGUUUGUCAAGCGAUCAGAGGGACAGUUUUGUCUACUUUGCCUCCUGUGAAAAUCUAUCUUAGCGCUCCUUUGAGCCAUCCAAUUAAAAGGAGAUUGUAAAAAUGCAAGGCUAGCUAAUCUACCUCAUUGAUGUCUUGACGAAUGGUAAAAUCGUAUCCUUGUAAUUGGCCACCUUUUUCCAUAUCAAUUAACUAAAAAUCAUCUGUUAAUAACCAAAUUAACUUCCAAGAAGAAGGUGGACGAGUUAUUUAAUUUGUUGACUUGACAGUGUGUUUCUUUCUGGGUGGCGUUGAGUAGUCUUAGCUUCAAGUGAGAAAGAAAGAUAAGCAUUAUAUAGCUUCAAAUGUGUUUACAAUCUCCCCAUACUGGAGAAUUGAUCAUUGAAUAGUAAAUAAAAGAAUGCACUCAAACACCACCAAAUCCUAAUAAGACACACUAACGAGUAACGGCUGUACAUAGGUGAUAUACAUUUGAAAACUAGAUUAGCUUCCAAUCAUAAUGACAAUAUCAGCAAUAAGUACUAAGUUUUAGUUUCACUCGGAACACAAUAUCAAAAGUAAAACUCCAAACCAACCAAAAUGCAAAAAAUUGAACAUUUUUAAUGCCUUGAGCAUUCAUGGUCCCUGACUUGGAAAAAAUAUUGACCCCAAAAAUCAAGCCUAAUAUGCUAAAUGAUUGCGAAGAAAAUCAAAAUCUUCAAAUUUCAGCAAUACAUACUCAGUUAGACAUUUCUUCGAACACCUUCACCCCAAGUUAUAAACAUGAAGACAAUUGUAUACAGAUAUAUAAAAAUCUAGAAUGCUUUAUAUUCAUAUUAACACACACGGGGAUAGAUAUGCUAGUACAAGAAACUCACCUUAAGAGAAGGUUGAAUGCUUGAAUAAUGGUGAAAAUAAAAUUGAUAAAAGGGGCAAAAUUACUGCACUGCCGGAUAAACAAAUUUCAGGAUGGAAAGAAACACUCUUCAUUAAAUUCUUGACACGUAACAAUUUCCUCUCUUUAAUACGUGUACAUCAAUUAAAGAAUCAUAUUCUUUGUCUCGCAUGGCAUCUUGGGUCAUUCAUACCAUAUGGCUCAGAUAUAG